GACGAACGCUGGCGGCGUGCUUAACACAUGCAAGUCGAACGAAGUGGCGAACGGGUGAGUAACGCGUAAUCAACCUGCCCUUCAGAGGGGGACAACAGUUGGAAACGACUGCUAAUACCGCAUACUUAAGGAGGUGAUUGCGUCUGAUUAGCUAGUUGGCGGGGUAACGGCCCACCAAGGCGAUGAUCAGUAGCCGGGCUGAGGGGAGGAACUGCCAAAAUGGGACUGGGAAAAGGCCCAGAAUCCGACGGGAGGCAGCAGUGGGGAAACUUACGAAAUGGAAGAAAGUCUGACGGAGCAAAGCCGCGGGAGUGAUGACGGCCUUCGGGGUGUAAAGCUAGGUUAAUCGGGACGCGGUACCGGAAUAGAAAGCAACGGCUAACUACGUGCCAGCAGCCGCGGUAAUAC
rnacentral:rRNA from 1 species